UUUAUAAAUGUGUAUAGUUAUAUAGUAAGAGGAAUAGGAAUGUUUAGAUGGAGAGAUUGAUGGAUAGAUUGUUGUUUGUGUAGGCCUAGGCUGCAUUUGUACCUCUUUCCCCCUCGGCUGCCUUUUUCACCUCUUGCUUUUCCCCCGGUGCCCCCUGUGUCCCCUGUCCCUGUGCUGGGUCCGAGCUGGCGGCCGGGCCGGGCGGAGCAGCACUUCCAGCCCCGGCUGUCCCUGGAGCGGUGGGAGCUGCCGCUGGCCCCAGGCACUGUCCCCUGAGGAGCUGCUGAAGGACGCUGCAAGGAAGACCUUGAGGACAGCCAGAGACUGACGGGAGGCAGCAGGGAGGAGCUGAAGGCCAGCAGCAAGAGCAGUGAACGGGGACCUGCUGCUGCCAGCCUGGAGAGAGCCCGGAUGUCCCAUCUGCUGUCGCUGUCCAGGAGAGCUGUUCUGCACGGGAGGAGGAGACCGAGGGAGAGGCUUUGAAGGUGGGGCAGCUGGGAUCCCUCUGCUUGGAGUGCUGUUUAAAGAUACACGGAC